GAUGAACGCUAGCGGCAGGCCUAACACAUGCAAGUCGAGGGAGAGGUUACCUUCGGGUCACCAAAACCGGCGCACGGGUGCGUAACGCGUAUACAAUCUGCCUUUCACAUAGGGAUAGCCCGAAGAAAUUUGGAUUAAUACCUAAUGGUAUAUAAGAGCGGCAUCGUUUUUAUAUUAAAGCUACGGUGGUGAAAGAUGAGUAUGCGUUCUAUUAGCUAGUUGGAGAGGUAACGGCUCCCCAAGGCGACGAUAGAUAGGGGUUCUGAGAGGGAUGUCCCCCACACUGGUACUGAGAUACGGACCAGACUCCUACGGGAGGCAGCAGUGAGGAAUAUUGGACAAUGGUCGGAAGACUGAUCCAGCCAUGCCGCGUGCAGGAUGAAGGUCCUAUGGAUUGUAAACUGCUUUUGUAAGGGAAGAAUAAGGAGUACGUGUACUUUGAUGACGGUACCUUACGAAUAAGCAGCGGCUAACUCCGUG
rnacentral:rRNA from 1 species